rnacentral:rRNA from 1 species
AGAUUGAACGCUGGCGGCAUGCUUUACACAUGCAAGUCGAACGGUAACAGGCCGCAAGGUGCUGACGGGCGGCGAACGGGUGAGUAAUAUAUCGGAACGUGCCCAGUCGUGGGGGAUAACGUAGAGAAAUUUACGCUAAUACCGCAUACGAUCUAAGGAUGAAAGCGGGGGACCGUAAGGCCUCGCGCGAUUGGAGCGGCUGAUAUCAGAUUAGGUUGUUGGUGAGGUAAAAGCUCACCAAGCCGACGAUCUGUAGCUGGUUUGAGAGAACGACCAGCCACACUGGGACUGAGACACGGCCCAGACUCCUACGGGAGGCAGCAGUGGGGAAUUUGGACAAUGGGCGAAAGCCUGAUCCAGCAAUCGCCGCGUGCAGGAAGAAGGCCUUCGGGUUGUAAACUGUCGUUUUGUAACGGAACGUAAACGGUCUGUACUUUUAAUACUAAGUGGACUUAAGUAGUACGGUAACCGUAAAGAAUAAGACACCGGACUAACUACGU